rnacentral:rRNA from 1 species
AGUGAGCGCUGGCGGCAGGCCUAACACAUGCAAGUCGAACGGCAGCACAGUGGAGCUUGCUCCAUGGGUGGCGAGUGGCGGACGGGUGAGGAAUACAUCGGAAUCUGCCCAGUCGUGGGGGAUAACAUAGGGAAACUUAUGCUAAUUCCGCAUACGACCUACGGGUGAAAGCGGGGGAUCGCAAGACCUCGCGCGAUUGGAUGAGCCGAUGUCCGAUUAGCUAGUUGGCGGGGUAAUGGCCCACCAAGGCGACGAUCGGUAGCUGGUCUGAGAGGAUGAUCAGCCACACUGGAACUGAGACACGGUCCAGACUCCUACGGGAGGCAGCAGUGGGGAAUAUUGGACAAUGGGCGCAAGCCCGAUCCAGCCAUGCCGCGUGGGUGAAGAAGGCCUUCGGGUUGUGAAGCCCUUUUGUCCGGAAAGAAACGCCUCGGAUUAAUACUCUGGGGUAAUGACGGUACCGGAAGAAUAAGCACCGGCUAACUUCGUGCCAGCCGCCGCCGUAAAAC